UUUCGAUCAACUUGUAAGAUGAGUUUUGCCCAAGUUUAACUGGGUCAUGCUUUCUCUUCUAUCUCAGCAGAAGCAUAAUUUAUCAAAAGCUGAAACAGAUCCACUGUGGAAUGUGCUUUUUAAGAAGCUUUCCGAGCUUCCCUGCAGCGCUGGAGUCAAAUACUGGGUCUACGACACAUUAAGAAUUAUCAGCAGUGUUUAUAAUCCCUGUGAAACAUGGAAUUUCAUGAACUAUAAGACACCCUACAGAAUAAGCCACCUGGUGCCCAAUCAGAUAUAAUAAAACAGGCAGAAGCAGAAAGGAAGAUUAUAUUGAAUGGAGUGUUCCUAAAGUCUGUAGUGAUGGAAUUCCAGACACACAAGUUGAUGGUAAGAAGAUGAAUUUAGAGGGUAGCAAAUACAUUUCUACAAUUUUCAAAUCAUGCUAGUUACUUGUAAGACU
rnacentral:lncRNA from 1 species